AGAAGGGUCUCAGCAGUGGUUGACCAGGAGCUGCCUAAGGCACAGACCCAGCAAUCCCAGAAGGAGUACGGUGAGAUUGCUGGGAGCAGCUGAGAAGAUUUCAGUUCCUCCAACCCACAAGGAAGUGAACCAUCAUAAGCAACCACCCAGAGGCAUGAACAAUAUUCAUACAAAAUACUACAGAUAUUAACCAGCUCUUCACAAGGAUACAGAUUUUCUUUUUCACCAAAAACCAAGGAGACUAGUCGACUGUUAACUCCAGGAUUACUAUGCUGCUAGCACGAAGGAUCCCUGGACUUUUGUUUGAUGACAAGUCUAAAGUGUUUGGUAAAAAGAACUUGAAAUGCUGCCAUUCUUGUCAAGUUCUGAAGAGAAACCAGGUGACACACACUACCAGUUAAGGCCAUCCAACAGAGUCUGAGAAACCAUCUGUCAGAGAAGAGCAGAGGAGGAUGUGUUUAUAUAUGUGUGCUAAAAAGUGUAGAAGAGUUAAUGAUAUGUUACACUGAGCCAUGUACAACAGCGGCAAAGUGGUGGAAGUCAAAAUUGUGGGGUACUUUCUCUCUGAAGCGGCCUGGGAGCUGUUUGUGAAGCAUGUGGGAGAUACACAGAGGUACAGAUAACAAAUACUGUAUCUGAUUACUAUCAUACUAUUAUACACAGGUGCAAAGAGUUAACAUAGUCCUUUGGGGAUGUGUUACACAUUUGCAGGAAGGAAGACAAUGGUUCUACAUAGCCAAAACAAUACAGGCAUCAAGACCUGUUCUGUCCAACUUCAAAGUGGGGGCACAGUCACUCCCAGUGUAGGACAGAACCAGGUCCCUAAUAGGGCUGUGGAGAAACCAGCUAAAGAUUAUUGACUUGCAAAUGAUUUUGACCAGCUGUAGUGAACACAGAGGACUUGAGAAGGAGAAAAUCCCCAGGAAGGGACAAAAUGCUAGAAAGGGUUGUUGAAAGGAGACUGUCUCUAGCAUGGGGAGAGGAGAUCAGAACCAGCAGAGAAGGCUGGAUGGGAGAAAAAGGAUCCUGGACUCCUUGGAACA